rnacentral:lncRNA from 1 species
AGAAGACCAGGACAUUUUGAUCUGAUCAGGCAGAAGCUCUCCUACAACGAAUCAAGAAGAAAAUAAUAGAAAAUGGGAUAGUUACAGCCUAUGUCAUCAACUGUUAAAAAAAAAAAAAAAAGUACAAAAUUCAGUACAAACACUAUGGUGAGAUCAUCUCUUUUUCCUGUGAGCAGAAAGAACAAUACCCCUGCAAGAAGGAUCACAUGACUCCACCUCUACUGAUCCUAUCUGCAUAAGAUGCAGGAAGUCCAUGGAGAGAUGUUGUAGGAGUGGAGGACAAACUUAAAAGACCAGCAUGGCAGAGAGAAAACAAAAAGGAUUCAUCCUGUUAGAGUUUUGGCUUGACAGUCUACUGAAAGAUGUUUUUUGUUUGUUAACCUUUCUUACUCCUGCCUCUUCUCUAGAAGUUUCCUUUUCUCAGAUGCCUCCUAGAGCAAGGUACAAGUUUGUAAAAUCAAUUUAUCUGUAGUGGGAGUCAUCUCCCCCUAAUUGCAACCAUCUGAAAGCUUGGUUUUUAGUCUGAGUCAGUCACCUGGGCUUCCUUGAUACAUACCUCCUAUGGCAGUUCAUGGCCUCUUGAGAUAAGCAGCUGAAAUAACUCAAAUAAGUUACUCUACAGUGAUGCCUGUUAGCAGGAACAUGAUAGAUAAGGUAGUCAGAGAUGAGAUAGAAACUGCAGAGUUAGUCUCACCUAUGUGGCUGGAGAGGAGAUUGGUGGGGCAAAAAUAACCUUGGGGUUCUCUGUGAUCUAAGACAAAUGUAUGUCCUAGAUGUAUGUGAUAACAGGAUAAAUUCCAGGCAAACUGGGGGCCUUCAUAAGCAUUUCCCUCCAGUUCUUUGUUUUGAGAGCUGCAUGGUAGUAUAGAAUGAUCUGGCUACAGCAGAGAGUUAUUUUGAACAUAGAGCUAAAUGCAAAAAAAAAAAAAAAAAGUGCAAGUAAGUUCAUCUUUGGAUGCAUACAUUUACUAAGAAUAAUUUGCCUUGUCAGACUUACAGACAAUAUCAACAGCUCCCUAAAAUUUAGCAGAAGCAUUAACUUCAUGUUCUAGAAAUUUAUGGCUAAAGGCUUCAUCAGAAAACUUCCGUGAGAUGGCUCAGUUGCUCCUCAAGUCCUGAGAAUUGCCUACUGAAAGCAAAGUUCGUCUGAGCUCUGUUUUUGCUGUGACCUCUGUGAGUGGCUGAAAUCUUUAAAUCAGCAUUCAUCUUACAACAUAAUGUCCUAUUAUUGUAACUAUGUGCAUGUAGUCUAUGCUGAAUUAGGAUAAUUAUUUUUUUUCUGUAUUCUGAAAUGAUUAAUGAAAAAGUAAGGCUAGUUCAAGCUGUUUCCUUUUUCUUCCUUGUACCUUUGUUUAAUUCUAAAUGUUUGAUCCAAAUUUUGCCAUUGUAGGGUUUUGCCAG